rnacentral:rRNA from 1 species
UACGGGGGGGGCAAGCGUUGUUCGGAAUCACUGGGCGUAAAGGGCGCGUAGGCGGGCUCUUAAGUUAGGUGUUUAAUCCCGGGGCCCAACCCCGGUCGUGCACUUAAACUGGGAGUCUUGAAUAGUGGAGAGGUCAGUGGAAUUGGGGGUGUAGCGGUGGAAUGCGUAGAGAUCCCCAAGAACACCAGUUGCGAAGGCGGCUGACUGGACACAUAUUGACGCUGAGGCUCGAAAGCAUGGGGAGCAAACAGG